rnacentral:rRNA from 1 species
CUGUAGAAGGUUCCAAGGGUUAGGCUGUUCGCCUAUUAAAGCGGUACGUGAACUGGGUUCAGAACGUCGCGAGACAGUUCGGUCCCUAUCUGGUGUGGGCGCAGGAGAUUUGAGUGGGCCUGUCCUUAGUACGAGAGGACCGGGAUGGACGAACCUCUGGUGUUCCAGUUGUCAUGCCAAUGGCACGGCUGGGUAGCCAAGUUCGGUUGUGAUAAACGCUGAAUGCAUAUAAGCGUGAAGCACUCCACAAGAUGAGAUCUCCCAACCCGUAAGGGUGAUGAAGGGCACUGGAAGACCACCAGUUUGAUAGGUUUGAAGUGUAAGACCAGUAAUGGUUUCAGCUUACAAAUACUAAUCGCCCGUUCGGCUUGACCAUAAAA